AUUGAACGCUGACGGCAUGCCUUACACAUGCAAGUCGAACGGCAGCGCGGGAGCAAUCCUGGCGGCGAGUGGCGAACGGGUGAGUAAUAUAUCGGAACGUGCCCAGUAGUGGGGGAUAGCCCGGCGAAAGCCGGAUUAAUACCGCAUGAGACCUGAGGGUGAAAGCGGGGGAUCGCAAGACCUCGCGCUACUGGAGCGGCCGAUAUCAGAUUAGCUAGUUGGUGGGGUAAAGGCCUACCAAGGCAACGAUCUGUAGUUGGUCUGAGAGGACGACCAGCCACACUGGGACUGAGACACGGCCCAGACUCCUACGGGAGGCAGCAGUGGGGAAUUUUGGACAAUGGGCGCAAGCCUGAUCCAGCAAUGCCGCGUGCAGGAAG
rnacentral:rRNA from 1 species